rnacentral:rRNA from 1 species
AUACGUAGGGGGCGAGCGUUGUCCGGAAUCACUGGGCGUAAAGGGCGCGUAGGUGGUUAUCUAAGUUAGACGUGGAAUCCAUGGGCUUAACCUGAGGCUUGCGUUUAAGACUGGAUAACUUGAGUGCAGGAGAGGGGAGCGGAAUUCCUGGUGCAGCGGUGAUAUGCGUAGAUAUCAGGAGGAACACCAGUGGCGAAGGCGGCUUUCUGGACUGUAACUGACACUGAGGCGCGAAAGCCGGGGGAGCAAACAGGAUUAGAUACCCUGGUAGUCCCGGCUGUAAACGAUGGGUACUAGGUGUAGGGGGUAUCGACCUCUCCUGUGCCGCAGUUAACACAAUAAGUACCCCGCCUGGAGAGUACGACCGCUAGGUUGAA